rnacentral:lncRNA from 1 species
UGCUAAAAGAAGAUGUUUGGGCAAGAAGAGAGCACUUACUUUAUACUUUAUUCUCCAUUUCCCUUAGGUGUUUGGCAAGACCAGGAUGCGCAAUGGCAAGUUGAGGGCAAGCCAGGUACAUGUCCUGAAUUUAUAGAAUCUUUUGACACGAAGCAACAGAGCCACAGUCAAGACUGAAGUCAAAAGAAAUUUAGAUCCCAUCUGGGCAAACAGGCCUCUAAGCAACAAUCUAAGAUUUCCACCUAUUGUUCUGGGGUUCCUUGUAUAAAUGAUUAUGACUGCAGAGAUCUUAUGAAGUGCUGUGGUACCUUUAGAUGUGGCCUGAGGUACACAUAUCCUCUUAUGAUUGACCCUGUAUUUUUCAAUUCACCUCCACAAUCUAAG